UCCGCUCAGGACCGCCUCCUGGGGUGUCCUGGGCACCGGGGCAGAGACGCAGGGGGAGGAAGGGGCAGGUCUCCGCGGCCUCCCAGUGCGAGCCGCGUGAGUAGGCGGAGAGGCCUGGCGCCUCCUCCCCUCUCGGGACGUGCGUCCGGGGAUCACUCCGGGUCCUGCUCCUCCCUGCCGGCGGGGGGAGAAGUGGGACAGGCGGCUGUCCUCUCCGGCUAUAAAGGGACUGGCCCUCCUGCGGCUUGCCUAGGCUCGCCUGGGCGUUCUCCCGGCUAGAGCUCCCGCUCCCCCUCCACUCGACCCUCUCGGGCCUCGGCUACUCGGGCUGCGGCGGAAGAUGGCGGCUGCAGCGGGUCACCCGGCUCGGGAGGCUCGGUCCGAAUGCUCUGAGGAGGCGCUGGCCGCUGCCUUAGCGGACGUGCCCGAACUAGCCCGACUUCUAGAAAUAGACCCGUACCUGAAGCCCUUCGCUCCGGACUUCCAGCGCAGGUAUAAGCUGUUUAGCAAGACUUUGAACAACAUUGGAGAGAACGAAGGUGGUAUUGAUAAGUUUUCCAGAGGUUAUGAAUCAUUUGGCGUCCACAAAUGUGCUGAUGGUGGUUUAUACUGCAAAGAAUGGGCCCCGGGAGCAGAGGGAGUUUUUCUUACUGGAGACUUCAAUGAUUGGAAUCCAUUUGCAUACCCAUAUAAAAAACUGGAUUUUGGAAAAUGGGAGCUGUAUAUCCCACCAAAGCAGAAUAGAUCGGUCCUAGUACCUCAUGGAUCCAAAUUAAAGGUUGUUAUUAGGAGUAAAAGUGGAGAGAUCUUGUAUCGUAUUUCACCGUGGGCGAAGUACGUGACUCGUGACAGUGAUAAUGUGAAUUAUGAUUGGAUACACUGGGAUCCAGAACACCCAUAUAAAUUUAAGCAUUCCAAACCAAAGAAGCCAAGAGGUCUACGAAUUUAUGAAUCUCAUGUGGGAAUUUCUUCCUAUGAAGGAAAAAUAGCUUCUUAUAAACAUUUUACAUGCAAUAUACUACCAAGAAUCAAAGACCUUGGAUACAAUUGCAUUCAGAUGAUGGCGAUCAUGGAACAUGCUUACUAUGCCAGUUUUGGUUACCAAAUCACAAGCUUCUUUGCAGCUUCAAGCCGUUUUGGAACGCCUGAAGAGCUGAAAGAACUGGUUGACACAGCUCACUCAAUGGGUAUUACAGUCCUCUUAGAUGUGGUACAUAGCCAUGCCUCAAAAAAUUCAGAAGAUGGAUUGAAUAUGUUUGAUGGGACAGAGUCCUGCUACUUUCAUUACGGACCUAGAGGGAAUCAUAAUCUUUGGGAUAGUCGAUUGUUUGCCUACUCCAGCUGGGAAGUUUUAAGAUUUCUUCUGUCAAACAUAAGAUGGUGGUUGGAAGAAUAUGGAUUUGAUGGAUUUCGUUUUGAUGGUGUUACAUCCAUGCUGUAUCAUCACCAUGGAAUAGGUCAGAAUUUUUCCGGUGACUACCAUGAGUAUUUUGGACUAGAAGUAGAUGAAGACGCUUUGACUUAUAUCAUGUUGGCAAAUCAUUUGGUUCACACGCUGUAUCCAGAUUCUAUAACAAUAGCUGAGGAUGUAUCAGGAAUGCCCGCUCUGUGUUUUCCAAUUUCCCUGGGAGGGGCUGGCUUUGAUUAUCGAUUAGCCAUGGCAGUUCCAGAUAAAUGGAUCCAGUUACUUAAAGAAUAUAAAGAUGAAGAUUGGAAUAUGGGCAAUAUAGUGUAUACACUCACAAACAGACGCUACCUUGAAAAGUGCAUUGCUUAUGCAGAGAGCCAUGAUCAGGCACUCGUUGGGGAUAAGACGCUGGCAUUUUGGUUGAUGGAUGCUGAAAUGUAUACCAACAUGAGUGUUCUAACCCCGUUUACUCCAGUUAUUGAUCGUGGAAUACAGCUUCAUAAAAUGAUUCGACUCAUUACUCAUGCACUCGGCGGAGAAGGCUAUCUCAAUUUCAUGGGUAAUGAAUUUGGGCAUCCUGAAUGGUUAGACUUCCCAAGGAAAGGAAAUAAUGAGAGCUACCAUUAUGCAAGAAGGCAGUUUCAUUUAACUGAUGAUGACCUUCUCCGCUAUAAGUUCCUAAAUAACUUUGACAGGGAUAUGAAUAAAUUGGAAGAAAGAUGUCAUUGGCUUUCAGCUCCACAGGCUUAUGUUAGUGAACAGCAUGAAACCAAUAAGAUCAUUGCUUUUGAGAGAGCAGGCCUUCUUUUCGUUUUCAACUUUCAUCCAAGCAACAGCUACACUGAUUACCGACUUGGAACGACAGUGCCAGGAAAGUACAAAAUUGUGCUAGAUUCAGAUGCAGCGGAAUAUGGAGGACACCAGAGACUGGACCACAAUACCGAUUUCUUUUCUAAACCUUUUGAACAUAACAACUGUCCCUAUUCUCUUUUGGUGUACAUUCCAAACCGAGUGGCCCUGGUCCUUCAGAAUGUGGACCUGCCCAACUGAAGAGAUCUGAUUUCAGCUCCAGCAAAGAAAGAUGUGCACUUUGUUUUCCCACGCUUCUUGUCCCAGAGCUUGUAAUGUCUUGAUUAUCAUGACUAAUAAGGAGUACAUGAAAGUCUAUUAAAAACUGAUUCAGUAAUGGAAGAGAUUAGCAAAAGAGACUUCCUUUUAUAGCUAAGCCUGCAUAUUAACCAUCUUUCUUAUAAGUUGAGUAAAGCCUUGAAUCUAGGUCUGACACAUGUUAUUUGCCUUAAUUUCAAAAGUACAGUAAUAGUUUGAUUUCCUGACAGCGAUGCCAGAUGAUGAUGACACACAUUAGGAAAGACUACUGAAAGCCUUCUGUAAUGCUUUUGCCCUUACAGAUGUGUUAUUAACGUUUUAGCACUGCCAUGAUUUGUGUACUGUGCCUGUUAUUGAUAAUAACAUGAUGUACAACCAUGAUGUUUUGUGUUCUAGUUUAUAAUUUCUUACCCUUGCAUUUCUUAUGUAUAAAGAGAUAUGCUAAUUUUCUAUCAUGACUCUUUAAAAAAUGACAGAUUACUUCACACCUAGAACUCAUUUUUUUGUUUGUUUGUUUUUUUGACUUCAACCUCUGUGGAAAGUCAAAAAGACCAGAGUAAUUAUAUGCUAUAUUUUCAUAUGUUGAUUGACCUUACUAUUGUGGUCUUUAGAUUUCACAGUGUAAAGUUCGAAUUUAACAAUGUAAUGUAAGUUAAUUGCCUUUGUCAAGUGUUCCCCUGCCACAAGAACAAUAAACAGAUGUUUUAGGUGUGAAACAUAAAAAUACAUGCAAAGAAAUAAAAUAUUGAGUCCAAGUAGAAUGUAAUAGUUGGAUUUUUCUUCCCUGUUGUAUCAAACAGCCUUUAUAGAACAGUUUAAUAUUUGUACUAUAUUUCACUUUACAUCUUCAUUUUUGAUUCAGUAACAUUCUCAUCAUCAUGUAGUCCAGUGGGAAGUUUUUUCUUUUUACUGGUUAAACAUUUUCAAUAAUCACAACAGAGAGAUGCAAAAUUUUACUCUGUCUGCCUUAUAAUGCUUUUUCCUCUGCUGUGUUUAUUACCAACAUCAAAAAUGAGAGUGAUCUAUCUUUGUUGGCUUUUUUAGGAUAAAUAUUUUUACUGUUUUAAUUUUUUAUGUUCUAGAAAACACGGAUGAGUACAGAUAUCUUCCCAUCAUUUUUUAAUAUUAGCAAAUAUUAGUAAUUGCUCUAUUAUCCAAAAGAGAAUUUACCCCUCAUGCUAAUGAUGCUUGAUGUUUUAGUUUAAUAUUAGCUUACUCAGAAAAUACCAUAGUUUUUAAUAAUCAAAACUUGCACUGUAAACAUUUUUCCUGGAAUGUCUCUCACUUUAUAGCACUUGAACUCUGAGGGUCACCUCCUUUCAUAUUUUCUUUUCUGUACCUUUGAUGUUUCUCACUUUGCCCUGCUCUUAGCUGAUGUAUUCAUCUCUAACAUAAAAUGAGGGAUUUAGCCACCAUGUUCCUCAAGAUCAAAAAAUAACCAGU